AGAGUUUGAUUCUGGCUCAGGACGAACGCUGGCGGCGUGCUUAACACAUGCAAGUCGAACGAUGAAGCCUAGCUUGCUAGGUGGAUUAGUGGCGAACGGGUGAGUAAUACGUGAGUAACCUACCUUUAACUCUGGGAUAAGCCUGGGAAACUGGGUCUAAUACCGGAUACGACCAAUCUCCGCAUGGGGUGUUGGUGGAAAGCGUUAUGUAGUGGUUAUAGAUGGGCUCACGGCCUAUCAGCUUGUUGGUGAGGUAAUGGCUUACCAAGGCGACGACGGGUAGCCGGCCUGAGAGGGUGACCGGCCACACUGGGACUGAGACACGGCCCAGACUCCUACGGGAGGCAGCAGUGGGGAAUAUUGCACAAUGGGCGCAAGCCUGAUGCAGCGACGCCGCGUGAGGGAUGACGGCCUUCGGGUUGUAAACCUCUGUUAGCAGGGAAGAAGAGAGAUUGACGGUACCUGCAGAGAAAGCGCCGGCUAACUACGUGCCAGCAGCCGCGGUAAUACGUAGGGCGCGAGCGUUGUCCGGAAUUAUUGGGCGUAAAGAGCUUGUAGGCGGUUGGUCGCGUCUGCUGUGAAAGGCUGGGGCUUAACCCUGGUUUUGCAGUGGGUACGGGCUAACUAGAGUGCAGUAGGGGAGACUGGAAUUCCUGGUGUAGCGGUGGAAUGCGCAGAUAUCAGGAGGAACACCGAUGGCGAAGGCAGGUCUCUGGGCUGUAACUGACGCUGAGAAGCGAAAGCAUGGGGAGCGAACAGGAUUAGAUACCCUGGUAGUCCAUGCCGUAAACGUUGGGCACUAGGUGUGGGGGACAUUCCACGUUUUCCGCGCCGUAGCUAACGCAUUAAGUGCCCCGCCUGGGGAGUACGGCCGCAAGGCUAAAACUCAAAGAAAUUGACGGGGGCCCGCACAAGCGGCGGAGCAUGCGGAUUAAUUCGAUGCAACGCGAAGAACCUUACCAAGGCUUGACAUAUACUGGACCGCAUCAGAGAUGGUGUUUCCCUUCGGGGCUGGUAUACAGGUGGUGCAUGGUUGUCGUCAGCUCGUGUCGUGAGAUGUUGGGUUAAGUC
rnacentral:rRNA from 1 species